rnacentral:lncRNA from 1 species
UGUCCAGUGGCAAUAACAAGAUAGUCAUAGGCAAUCUGCUGGCCAUCUUCAGUCACCACUGCAGUUUCAGUUAUGUUGACAGCACUGGAUACAACAAGGUUACCCUUUUUGAAGUACUCUCUAUGGUUGAUCACUAUCCUUUCAGCAAAAGUUGGCUCAACCAAUCCCCUCAAACUUGCCCAUGGAAUCUCAAAAUAUUCCUUCCUGUGUUCAACACCUCUCAGUCAAUCCAACCACAUACAUAACAAGCUCUUUGUGAGCAAACAGAACAUCAAAUAUUUCUCAAACAAAUUAUCACUCUACAUGAAACAUGAUAAAAUCUUAGUCCUCUCUCAAAUUUUGGGUGUGUUUGAAAAAUGUUCUAAACUUAUUUUUUUGGUCCACCCCAUGUAUCGUUUUUUUAAAGUCAAUCCUGUUCCAGGAACUGUCAUACACUAUAAAUGGACACCUCUUCCUACUGAGCUUAAAUCUUAGUCAUCAAGUUGUGAAGAUUAGCCCCUUCUGUUAGAUUCAAUCCCUAUAGGUAAGGUUAUAAGCUUAUUUUGAACUUACCAAAGCAGAAUAAGCUUUUUCACUUCUAAUAAACUUCUAGAGGUAAUUUAUUAAAAUAAAUUUUCUUUUUAACUUAUUUCAAUAAACUUUAUAAUUAAACUCUUAAGUAACAACUAACAAACACUUAAAUAUUGUUUGAAGUGAACCAUAAAAAUUCAAUUAAACAUAGAAAAGAACAUGAAUUAAACUACAAAGAGACUAUGGUAUAGCAGCUACAAAUAGAGAGAGAGAGAGAGAGAGCUCACGGAUCAAUAAGGGUGACGUUGGCUUGACGUUGUAUAGUUUUUGCAAGGUUGGCACCGGCAACACCACCUCCUAGGAUCACCACUUUCUUCUCCGCCAUUUUUUGUGCUUGAAAUUUUCUCUCUCCCUUGAUUACAAGUUGAAGUUUGCGUUAUAAUAAUGAUUGUUAUGUUCUCACAAGAUAAGGCAUCAACAUAAAUAGAUGUUGUUUCGUACGUCAUUGCAUGUAUCAUCAAAUUAAGUCCAAAUGUCAAAUUUUGAAUUUGGACAUAAAAAAGAUUAAAGCCAAAUGGAAGCUGUAGCUUCUGUCAACUUGGCAGUUCCCACCUUCCCAGUACACAAACCAGAAAGCGGUAUUGUAACUUCUCUCUGU